AUGGAUCUUCCCGACGAGUUGGUGGUGGACAUCCUCGGCCGCCUGCGGCCGAGGGACGUCGCCGUGUGCCGUUGCGUACGCAAGGACUGGCGCACAGCCGUCGACUUACACGGGUUACUGCUUCUGCCAGUGGGUCCCGUGCGCGGUCUCUUCGUCAACUACAUUUAUAAAUGGAGGAACGGCUUCUUCUCCCGAGUUGCGCCGGCGCAGGGGAGCCCAUCCAUCGACGGCGGGCUCCGUUUCCUGCCUGGCCGGCCGACAAAUUACCGGGGUGUCCUGGAUCACAGCAACGGCCUCCUCCUCUACGAGAACGCGCUGGAGAUGCAUGUGUGCAACCCCGCGACACGACGUUGGGCGGCGCUGCCCCCGCCGCGUGUGCCGCCCAUCUGCCUCCGCCAGCCUCUCUACCGCCGUCGUAUGUACCUCUUGUUCGAUCCAACCAGGACGCUGCACUAUGACGUCUUGUUCCUCCCCGAUGCGCCAAAGAAACCUAAUUACGUUGGUACCACUCUCGCCGAGGACCAGCCGGGGUCGUCGUCUUCAGAAACACAUUACGAGCAUGAAUAUAACACCACCAGCUCGAUGGAGUGGCCACCAUACUUGUACCCCGUGCAAGUCUACUCGUCAAGUACCGGGCAGUGGGUUGACAGGAUUUUUGUCCGAGAAGGCAAUGUGACGGGUACCAUGGUGGACGUCUGGUCAGAUCCAACGCCACCAACUAGCGGGUUCGACGCGAUUCGACGCCAUGGCGUGCACUGGCGAGGAGCGCUCUACGUCCACUGUCGUGGUGAUUUUGUUAUGAGGUUGUCAUUAGUGGAGGAGAUUUAUCAAGUGAUCAAAACCCCAAGACUACAUGUAGCCGAGUACAGCGAGGAAGACGACGAUGCUAAAACCUUUGGAUAUCUCGGAAAAUCCAACAAUGGGGUAUACUACACCGCCAUUCGUGGGUACCAAUUUCAGGUAUGGAUAUUGCGUGAAGCAUCAGGACUACAUCAAGCACCGGAGUGGGAGGUGAAGCAUCAAGCUAACCUCAAGCUUGCAUUUGUGCGGCACUACAACAAACACAAGAUAGGAGAAAAUAGUGCCACUUGGGUUUUGAACCCUCGCGACAAAGUAUCAGAGGACAGAGAAGAACAUGAAUGGGACUCUAGUGAUGAUAGUGAAGAUAGUGUUGCUGAUAUGGAAGAAGAGGAGAUUAACAACCUCGAGGGCUACAAAAAGCACUAUCACUACUACGGCCUAGACCUGUUAGGUUACCAUCCUCACAAGGAGAUUGCACUUUUAGGCAACAGUUUCAAAGGUUUUGCCUACUACCUAGACAACUCAAAGUUAGAGUAUUUGGGAUCACUUUUCCCAAGAUUUAGUCUAGAUAUCCGUCCCCGUGCACCCAUGUUCGAGUCAUUCAUCUACACUCCUUGUAUGGAUGAUUUGCUUCCGGCUCACAAUGAUAUUUAG
rnacentral:rRNA from 1 species